rnacentral:lncRNA from 1 species
AGCCUGUUUGGGUUUACUUAGAGCAAGUCUUGUUAGGAUUUGUGGCCCCAAAACCUUCCCUCUCAAUCUUAUUGAGGUAAAAGGUCUUGUUUGGUCCCUCUUUGUAAGUGUGUCCUGCUAAGUUCAUGGCUGUGUUGUAUAUAUUUUCGUAUGUAUGUGUUUUAAAUUUAUGUGGUAUGAAUGUUUAUGAUGCAAAUUCUGUGAUCAUGUCAACAGGGUGCUAUUAACUGUCCGUAUUACAUGAAGACCGGUGCGUGCAAGUAUGGUGUUGCAUGCAAAUUUGACCACCCACCUGCUGGUGAGGUCAUGUCUACCAAAUCUGAAGGGACAUCGGCUGUCUGAGUGCAAGAUGGAGAAACUUUUAACUUCAUGGCAGCGUAGCCGAUUGUUGCAGUUAGUUAAUAGGACUCCUGGUUUUUUUAAAGCGGAGCUCUCCUUCAGCAUAUAUUUGAUACUGGGUCGACAUCUGUGUUAAAGAUAUUUAUCCUGUAUAGCUGGUGCAAUUGCCCAGCUUAUUGUUUCUUCUGUAUGUUAUGUCAAGACUGUUUCUAGUAUUUUAUUUCAAUACUGAUUAUAUCGGGGUGUUGAUUCUUCAAGCUAUUCUUGAAUUUCUUUUUUGCAUCAAAAUGUGUAACUUAAGAUUUAGGAUAAAUUGCAGUCAAAUUGGAUUAUCUUCACAGAUCUUGUUUUUCGCAAGUCGAACGUUUAGUUAAUAUGAAUGUAUUAUUGGUUGUAAACGGUCAGAUAUUUGUGAAUAUAAGUGAUCUGGAUAUGGUAAAUUGGCUGCUAUUUAUUUAUGAUUUAACAACCCAAGAAAAUAUGAUAUAAUAAUUAUCAAAAUGCUAUUGAAAAAUAUUUAUAAAAAAUAUAACAAUAAUUUUCUUUCAUGUAGUGAUAAGAAGCGAGUGAAGGAAAACAAAACUCUGAGAGAGAGAGAGCGCGCGAGAGAGAUGCAAGCACAGUGUAUCUCGACAAAAGUGUCUGUUAUAGUAACCCCUCGCCACCGCAACCGUCGUCAACUAUGCCUCAUCUUCUCCCCGCCGCCUCCUUACAGUCUCACAGUGUCGCCGGAAAACAAUCUUCUCCGUCGCCGGAAAAAUUCGACAGUCACUCAUGUUUCCUCCUCGUCAGCAUCUGAGAAGCCUAACCAGGUUUCGUGAAGCUUGAAAUUAUUGUACAAGUUUGUUAUUGAAUGUGCUUGAUGGAUUAUAAACUCACUCUAUGUAUAUGUGUGUAUCUAGAGUGAUGAACAAAGAAAAGGCUCGGAUCUUCAAACACUUGCCAGGAGGUUCUGGAAAGUAGCAGCUCCGUAUUGGUAUUCGGAUGAUGACAAGAAGCAAGCUCGAUUACAGCUUGCUGCUGUCUUCGCCUUAACUUUUGCUACUACUGGAAUCAGCGUUGGAUUCAAUUUCCUCGGUCGUGAUUUCUACAAUGCCCUUUCCAGUAAGAUAGCUAAUCGUAGUUUGUUGUAAUCUGAAUUAACCACAUACCGAAUAUUUCUUUCAUUUUAGCUUAUAUGUAGUGACCUAAGUUGUUGUUCUCGUUUCUUGCUGACAUAUUGUUGACUGUUAUUAUUAAUGCAAGAUAAGGACCAAGAACAAUUCACCAAGCAAUUGCUUUACUACCUUGCCAGUUUUGCUGGAGGAAUUCCGGUGAGCACAUUGCUCCAUUCUCCUCUCUUAGGUAUUGCUCACUUAGUCUUUUAUGCAUUUUUUACUAGGAAAUACCAAAACUUCAAUGGUAAACAUGUCAUGGAACAAUUUAGGAAGCUCGUGCUGACACUUACUAUUCCCUCCACUUCCAAAUUUCUAGAUAAAAACUUGUUCUAAAUUUAUUCCUAAUUAGAAUUAAGUUCUAUUAUAUAUAAUAACAUCAAUAUCUUGUACCUUUUUCCUAAUGGACAUACAAUUGUUGUAAUUUUCUUGGCACUAAAGCAAGUCAUUACUUCUUUCCAUAUUUCUUGUACUUAGUCGUGGAUUCUUAGUAAAGUAUAUAUCGUUUCUAAAGACUUCAUUCAAUCUCCGGUUCUUAAGUAUGGCGAGUAGUACAAUGAUAGCUCUUUAUGGUUGGUGAUAGCAGGAUUUUUUUUCACAUAUACAACCGUUAAAAUAUAGUUAGAAGAAUUAAUUUAUCUACCAAUCGGGACUAAUGUAAUGCCUUAGCAUCCACUCUUAAAUGAGAGCAAAAUAUACACUGUUUCAUACAAUUAGAAUUCACGAGUGUAACCAAAAUGCUUAAUACCUUAACUACUUGAUAAUAUCUUAAUUACUUGAUUUAGAAUCUGAAUUUUAAUGAAAGUAGGAGUCUAGGAUUGCAUGUAUGGUGUAACUUCGAAUUUUAUUUAGUAAGUUCCAAAUAAUAUACUUACUUUGGAUUGAAGUAACAAUAUGCUUUUUUGGUAUAUGGAUCACUGAACAUGUAAUGUGUUUAUAGCAUUACCACUAUCAGUAUUCUAAUACUUUGAUGACAUGUAUUAAGUAAAAUCACCGAGGUUACGUAAUACUUUCAUAAUUUUUGUUAAGGAAUGAGGAAAGGAAGAUAAUUUAAUAUUUUGAAUAUUUGUGGUUAAAAUUUUAUAUGAGUUGGGAUUUUUAUUAAGCGAUUCAGUGCUUGACUUGAUACGUGGUCGUCUUUGAUUUGACUCGUUAAAAUUAUUUAACGAGGAUCAAUUUAUUGCUCAAGGCUUAUUAUAUGUCUGAUAAUAUAUUAUGAUCUUUCUACCUAAAAGUUUUAAAUGUAACAAUUACUUAACAUGAUAUUAGAGUUCGGUUGAGAGAGCGGUGUCGGAUGCGAGUCCUCUUGCCCCUAUAUGUUUAAUUUUUUAUUUGUUUGUCUAGUCUGGUUUGAUGUAUAUUUGUUUAAUCUUAUAGAGAAGUGUUGAAUAAUUUGUGAUCCUGGCAAGACCUUCCUCUAAUAAUUUUAGGUUUUAGAUGAGUUGGUUACUUCAAAUUAUAUAUAUACCAUAUAUAUACUCCCUCCGUCUCAGCAGGUUGUUUACUUUCACUUUUUGCACGCAUUUUGAGGCUCUUAUAAAGUAUAGUUCCAAUUUUUUUUUUUCUUUUUUGAAUAAAAGUUUAAAUGUCAAACUUUUAUUCAGGGAAAAAAGAUUUUAAAAAAAUAUUUAGAACUAUACUUUAUAGGAGCCUCAAAAUACUUUAUAGGAGCCUCAAAAUACGUGUUAAAAAACCCUGUUGGGACAGGAGUAAUGGUUAUAAGCCUCACAUAUAAAGCAUGUAGAUAUAUAUAUUCGGGUCUGUCUUAUUUUACAUCUCCCAAGACUUUUUGAACUUAAUUUAAGGUGCAUAAAAAAGAUAAUUCUAAUUAUUAUUUUUUGAAUUUUUUUAAUGAGUAAAAGUUAUUAGUUCUACUUUUAUUCAGAAAAAAAAAUUUAGAAAAUAAUAAACAUAAGUACUUUUUAUACUCUAAGUUAGUAAUGUCUUUGACUUAUUAUUUUUAAUUAUAACAAUAUAUACAAUAAAUAUGUUAAAGUUUAUAAUAAUAUGUAUGAAAUAAAAAAAAUAAUCAGUGACAAAUCCGAUAUCGUCGAUCAUGGUAAAACCUUGAGGAAAAAAAAUGGAGUUGGGAUGUUGAAACGAUGGUAACUUAUAGUGCAAAGGAAAAGCGGUGAAGGAAAAAAGGACUAGAUAAAGACGAAGUUAGGUAUUUAUGUUCAAAACUGUAUUUUGUGAUUCAUAAUUCUUCUAAAAUCUGGAGGGUUAAUUUUUUUUUUAAAAGUGUGGUUGAGGAUAUGUUGCUCAAUUUUCAACAGUAGUUCGUUCGUCAUUGGGCCUGAGCAAGCAUGAGCAUAUAUAUGUAUCUAUUAUAUAAUGGUUUGGGUCAAUUUUAAGGUUAUUUCGAGAUGGCUCAGAAAUGACCCAAUUUUUUCAAGGUAGUUUAAGGCUCUGUCUAUGAUUGCUAUUCACAACUGUAAUGCUUUUAGGAAAAAUUGCAAUAAAAAAAGUGUUUUUGCUGGAAUCAAGUAACUGUUUGGUAAUAUUUUUGAUGUUUACGUUAAUUUAGGUAUGAUAUUUUUGGUGAGUUUUGGUUGAGAUUCGUCACAAAUGUUAAAAAGCAGCUUUUUUCAAAAACAUUUGUGGAGCUGCUUUGCUGCAAUUCAGAAAAGCGAGCUUAACUGAAAUGUUGUUGCUGUCAGCAACAGCAACCAAACAGGGCCUAAGUCAGUCCAAAAUUGACAAAAAAAUCCCGACCUUAUUCGUAUAGUUCGGGUUGUGUUGCGUCGGAUUUUUCCACCUUAGUAUGCAUGCAUCGAACCUUAAUGAACAGCUCGAAGCAAAGUUGAGUUUGGAAAGUUAGCAUUGAACCAAAAAUGAUCAACCCAACUCAGUUCAGCCCGACUUGGUUACAACCAUAGCCAUGGUAGCUAGAAAGCAGGGGUGUGGCACUCACGUGGUGCAUUGCGCACCCGGUGCGGCGGUGCGCGGCAGCAUAUGCACGGAGUGCGCCACCUGGCGUGUCGCCGUAAUUCUUUAACGGGAUUCGUGAGGGUGCGGAAUAGGGGGUGAGGGAGGGGCACUUUUGGUAAUGUUUUUGGUCUCUGUCACCACCAUCGGCCAGCUUUCUUCUUCUGCCAUCUCCAUUCUUUCUUUGCAGAUCGUAAUUUAUGUUGUGCUAGAUACAUAGCCAUUUAUUUGAAUAUCCAUGAGUAUAUGUAUGUUUAUGUUUGUGUGUUCAAAAGUUAUGUACGUGUAUAUGUGAAUGUGAAUUAUUGAUUCUUGACUUUGUAUCUUAGUGUUUGGGAAGAAGCAAAAGUUAAUGCUGUACAUGUAGAAUGGGAGUAGUCAAUCACAUAGACAACACGCAUUCCUAGUUAGAAUAUUAUUAUUAUAAACUUAAUGGUUGUCUCGAAAAGAAUAAACAACUAAUAAAUAGACAUAAGGUAAAUAGGUGAUAUCUUUUACAAUAAUGUUACCCGAACAACUAGAUUUGAGAAUUUAAAUAAUAUAUUUUAAAAAAAAAAUACAGUAUUUUAAAUGAAUUUUUUAUUAAUUAAAAAAAUAUUAAAUAAUAUAUAUAUAGAGGGUUACUCCAGUGAGAACUUCUUAAAAUGAGAAUCGUGAGAAUUUCCUUAAUUUAUCAUAUUUUGACUAAUCUAAACAUCAAACUAGUGGGUUACCCAAUAUAAAAAAAGUAUAUUAAACUAGUCUCUCCCUAGCUAGUCAAAAAAAAAAAAUUUAAAAAAAAUUCAAAAAAAAAAGUCCACUGCCACGUCAUCAGUGUUUUUUUUUAAAAAUUAUUAUUAUUAUUUUUUUUCGGCUAGCUAGGUGGAGACCUUAAUGAUAUACAUUUUUUGUGAAGGUGCCCCUAGCGGGGCCCUUCAAAUGAAUGAGAUUUUGAUAAAUUAAAAAAGUUUUCACGGUUCUCAUUUUAAGAAAGUUAUCAUUUGAGCAAGUCCCUACUUAUAUAUGUGUGUCAUGUAUAUAUAUUAUUUGGAUUUUUUUUCGGGUGCUAAGUUCAUGGCUGUGUUGUAUAUAUUUUCGUAUGUAUGUGUUUUAAAUUUAUGUGGUAUGAAUGUUUAUGAUGCAAAUUCUGUGAUCAUGUCAACAGGGUGCUAUUAACUGUCCGUAUUACAUGAAGACCGGUGCGUGCAAGUAUGGUGUUGCAUGCAAAUUUGACCACCCACCUGCUGGUGAGGUCAUGUCUACCAAAUCUGAAGGGACAUCGGCUGUCUGAGUGCAAGAUGGAGAAACUUUUAACUUCAUGGCAGCGUAGCCGAUUGUUGCAGUUAGUUAAUAGGACUCCUGGUUUUUUUAAAGCGGAGCUCUCCUUCAGCAUAUAUUUGAUACUGGGUCGACAUCUGUGUUAAAGAUAUUUAUCCUGUAUAGCUGGUGCAAUUGCCCAGCUUAUUGUUUCUUCUGUAUGUUAUGUCAAGACUGUUUCUAGUAUUUUAUUUCAAUACUGAUUAUAUCGGGGUGUUGAUUCUUCAAGCUAUUCUUGAAUUUCUUUUUUGCAUCAAAAUGUGUAACUUAAGAUUUAGGAUAAAUUGCAGUCAAAUUGGAUUAUCUUCACAGAUCUUGUUUUUCGCAAGUCGAACGUUUAGUUAAUAUGAAUGUAUUAUUGGUUGUAAACGGUCAGAUAUUUGUGAAUAUAAGUGAUCUGGAUAUGGUAAAU